rnacentral:rRNA from 1 species
GACGAAGGAUCCAAGCGUUAUCCGGAUUUAUUGGGUUUAAAGGGUGCGUAGGCGGAUUGAUAAGUCAGUGGUGAAAGCCUGUUGCUUAACAACAGAACUGCCAUUGAUACUGUCAAUCUUGAAUAUGUUUGAUGUGGGCGGAAUAUGACAUGUAGCGGUGAAAUGCUUAGAUAUGUCAUAGAACACCGAUUGCGAAGGCAGCUCAAAAAGCCAUUAUUGACGCUGAGGCACGAAAGCGUGGGGAUCAAACAGG